UCGAAAGCACAGGAGCGCGCGCGCACCUCCCCCGCGCUCCCCUGUGCCCGCCCCCGCAGCCUCAGCGCAUGCGCGUAGCUCUCUGGGCGCUUCAAAGAUCCAGCGGCUUGCUGUGAGUCCGGGAGGCAAAAUUGUACCCAUUUCAAAUAUGUGAUGACUAAAGUCUCGAGAGGGCCAGGGCUCGCCGAAGGUUGCUCUGUGGUGACAGCUUUACCUCCUUGCUAUGUAUUCUCAGAUAUUGCAAACGGACGAGAGAAAAGUGGAGGCUGAGCCAUCCUGGGCAGGCACCCUGUUGGUCUGGUUGCCAGCUGUGUCCUCAGUGGGCACAGGGAUGUGAAGAGAACACAUAGGAAACAGGUACUCCAGCUUAGUCCCUUGCCACCUGUCCCCAGCCUGCAGCCCUUUAACCCACCAAAUGCACCCCUCCCUACCACUGAACUACCUACGCUGCAGCCCCCCUGCCACGGGUGGCUCAAGCCCUGAUCCAGAGCCUGGAAGCCAGGCUAGCAAUCCCCUCCACAAAAAAAAGACGCUGUUUUCCAUUUUGCACAAAAAUGUAUUUCUGUGACAUCCCAAAGUACAGACAUUUCCCCAGGCCCCAGGGGGUAAAGCAAUGAGGUGUGAACUCUGCCAGGGUCUGGCCGGGGCCGCUGAGCGUGGGAUGGAAGGGAGCGCCGCAUGCAGCCCAUCUGCCAAGCUGGGGGAACACAGGGCUGCCGCCCACUUCCCGGGCCGGGAGGGAGAGGCUCCAGGAGAAAAAGGCCAGGUGUCUCUCCCGGAGCUGCUCACCCCUGCCGUCCUGCCUGGAGGCGGAAAUGCUAGGAACACCUGAAAACAGGCCCGCGGAAGGAAAAGGGAAGAAAAAGCCAUCACCCAAAGGCUGCCUCCAGGGUUAGCGCUGCUCCCCAGGCCCCUGCGAUCCACAAGUGUCCGAUGAGAAGCAAUGCAGUGUCCAUCGAUGGAGGAGCACAAGAGAGCCGGCGCCUCUCAGGCUUCCAAGGUAAAGCCUAGGGCAGGGCGGGACCGCCAGGGAGGCCCAAGCGGCCACUGCAGGGCAGUCCGAGUGCUGGUCUGGAGGCGGCUGUGUGGCCGCUGUGGGUCAAAGGCUGGCGUGGGACCUCUGCCUCUGAGAGGCGUGGGGUCCUCUGGGUAGCGGGGCAGGCUGGGAUGAGGAGGCAGGCUCAGUUCUGCUGGUGGGAGCGCCUGGGCAGUUGAGGGCUGUGGAGCGAGGAAGCAAGCCCCUGGCCCCAGAAGAUGCUAGCUUCCAGGGCUGAGGGCAGGUUCUGGAUGUGUUUGGCAGAAGGGGCAGUGGAAUCUGCCCCUGAGUUCUGAUCAUCCCUGGGCUGGGGCUUUCCACGGCCUGGGACCUGGUGGGAGACUAGGAGGCAGCCUCCAUAGCAGCGUGGCCUCAGGCAGGCCUGGCCGGACAGCAGCAGGGCCACUGGGCGCCCUGCCCCUAGAGGGUCUUCAGGGGCAGGGCUGCCUGGACCUCAGCCUGGGAACGGCUCACUUUCCUGCCCCAGAUGGCCCACAGCCGGGAGCACCAAGGCUUUUGGGAGACCCAGUGGGGUAAGUAAGUUCUAAUCCCCAAACCCCAUCAGCUGUGCCCGGGAGCUGAGAUGGCGUUCUCAGGCAUGGGCAGUGGGUCUGGAUGCUCGAUACGCUGUCCAAGGCCUGCUCCUCUCAAGAAAGGAAGCCAGGCCGGGAUCUGAGUUUCCUGGACAAGGACUGGACACUCACAGCGUUACAGGCAUUUAGUCUGCUUGGGGUAGGAGUGAGUGUGUCAGUGAUGAAGGCUGAGUGGGUUUGAGAAUGGCCAAGGAAGCUGCAAGGACUCAGGAGUGUUGCUUUUGUUUUUGCACAGAAAUCAUACACACAAAACUUCACACUUCCUAACCAAAAAAAAAUAUAUAUAUAAUAUAUAUAUCUCACUAAUGUUAAGGAAAAGCGUCGGUUGUGCAAAAGUCCCCCAUGUCUCUUCACUCCGUGGGAGGCUCCCUCGGAAGGGGCCCGCCCGCUGGGCUGCUUGAGCACGCUUCCUCCCCGCCUGUGGUCCAGAGCGGUGGCGGCCAUGGGGGCGGAGGCCUCUAUCUAGACGUGUCCAUGUUCUCCUCUUUAAAGUUACUGCAGUGCUCAAUCACCUUGCUGGAGACAGGGGGAGACGGGAUUGGAGGGUGGGCUUGGGUGGGGUGAGCCCAGCCCCUCUGAGAUCAUUAGGCAGCUGGGUAAACGUGUGUUCAUAGUGAUGGUGAUGCUGACCGAAUGAUGUGGACAGAGGAGUUGGCAGAGUGGCUGGCAUGGGCAGGGGACUCAGGGAAUGGCACCUGUGGCCGUGAAUGCCAUCACCAGCCAUCCUCCGCCUCCUUCCUUUCCAUGCCCCUCUUCCCCCACCCCCAGUCCCAGGGCAUCUGUGGAUAGGGGGUCCCCAAAUCAGCUCAGGCCUGACCUCCAAAACCCUUUGGAAGUUUCUUUAGCGACCUCUUCCUUCUUCAUUUUCCCUGCACUCCAGACCCUUCUCUUUCCAGAAGUCCACCAGUGGUCCCCAAACUGACUGCAUAUCAGAUUCCCCCAGAGGCCCGGAUCCACUGGCAGGUCCAGGGUGGGGUGGGGGCAGCUGUGCUCACACAAGGGCCCCCACUACCCUGAGGCAGCUAGGGCCCAGCACUCCGCUCAGAUUUUGAGUCUCGCCCGCCCCAGCCUGACCUCUGCUACCCAUCACUGUUGGUUGUCACCUUGGACCCCGGACAGCUUGCCCAUUCAACACCAAGCCUGUGGUUUGGGGGCUUCACUGCAGCCUCUGUGUGUUAAAGGGAUGCCCCAAUACCUUUUAGGAAGCAAAUACCCAGAGUGAGAGAGGGGUCAGUGGACAGGCUGAGGGCCUUCUCCUAAGCAUUGUCCAGGGUUAUUUACUCCUUGCUGUCAGACAGGCCAGUGCCUCAGAUUCCCAUCACAGGCCUUGGAGAAAUGUUCAAAGUGACUGUGGUAGGUAACUGGUCAGUCUUACCUAGUGCUUCGCAAAUUUCCCGGGAAUCCCUGUUAACCAUGAAAAUUCCAGGGCCACCUCCUACUUCCCAGAUGCACUGGAAAAGAAAACCUAGGGGUGGGCCCCGUCCAUUUAUUUUUAAAUUUUAUUUUUUUGAGACAGAGUCUCGCUCUGUUGACCAGGCUGGAGCGCAGUGGCACCAUCUCGGCUCACUGCAACCUCUGCCUCCUGGGUUCAAGUGAUUCUCCUGCCUCAGCCUCCCAAGUGGCUGGGAUUACAGGCACGCACCACCACGCUCAGCUAAUUUUUGUAUUUUUAGUAGAGAUGGGGUUUUACCAUGUUAGCCAGGUGUCGAACUCCUGACCUCAAGUGAUGCACCCACCUCAGCCUCCCAAAGUGCUAGGAUUACAGGUGUGAGCCACUUCGCCUGGCCAGUAGUGCCUUUGGCCAGAUGUAAUAGCAGAACCAGCUGACACUUCCCUCCUCUGGCCCAGGAAGCGGCUGUCUGAGGAGCCUCUGAGUUCCAGGCCCCUCCUCCAUGUGACCUUUUGCUCUAUACAGAGCCAUGAAAAAGUGUGCUGGGGUCAGCUUGACUGUCUUCCCUUCUAGAAUGAAUCCUGGAGAAAACAGGGUCAUCCCUGGCGAUUCCGACACGUCGCAUCCCUGAGAGUCUCUGGUGUCCUGAUCAACUUGGGAACUGGAGGCGGUGACAUUUUAGAUGCUGCAGUGAAAGCCACACAGCCACGGAAGGCCGAGACUCUACCAUGUUUGUGAUCUUCACAUUCGGCAAACUCACUUGCACUCUGCCUCGUCUUAUCUCUAGAAUGUAUUUUACCACACUGUGUCCCUUCUUUAGUGGGAAUGUCUUUGGCCAAAAAUAAUGAAUAGUUCUGACCUGACUUGCUAAUACCCAGUGAUAAAAGGAUGGAAUUUGUUGGGAAUAAAAGAAAACUAGGCUUACAAACGA